CUCAGAUAAGCUGUUUUCUAUACUGGCACUCACUAGAACCCAUGAAUCCUGGCUAUGGGGGAAGCAGUACCAUAUGCUAGAUGCAAACUUACAGCACAUCCAACCUCCCGGAGGAAAAUGCUUCAGUCCUGGAAGGUAUUGCCAUGUAGCUGGUACCAUCUCUGAAUUUUUAAAAGGCCCUUCUGACAUUCUAUGAAGCAGCUACUUCAGGAUGCUGAGGAACAUGAGAAGACCAGCGAAUUUCCUGAACAUGGACCCAUUAUUGCACUUUAUUUGCAUGAAGUGAAUUUCUUAAUCAGAAGCAAUGCUGAGUGGAAUACUGUGAUGGAAGUAGUAGAGCAAUAGAUGUGUACCUGUACCUGAGGUGGACAGCCUGUAUAAUCAAAGAACUGGACCAACAGAAUGAGGCGCUAGGCCACAUGAAGCUAAGGUAGUCAUCCAAUUCUAAGACUCGAAACAAGAAGCAGAAGUCACUUAUAUGCACACAGCCUUCCAUUCUGCAUGAGAAAAUAAACACCAAACCAUCAGCAACUGGUAUGUACUUUUCAGUCAUAUAUUUGGCUACAUCUGUUCCAUGCCUAUUUCAACAGUCCCUCAAGCUGUAAUUUGCCUUCACUUUUGAUGGAAUGCAACAUACCUUUACCUGGUUUCUUAGGUACACUCCUUUGUUGGUGGCAGAAAGAUUAAACCAUGCAAGCCUUGGAUCAUGCAGGGAAACGUCACUUUAGCCCCUAGCCACCAUCAUAAAACCCAAGACAGUCUCCAUUCCCUGCUCUCUCAACCAUUUUCAGACCUGCUUGAGAAUCUGUUUUCCCCAGGAAUCUUCAAUCCAUGAUGAAUAAAAAUUUUCAUACUCUCCUGGCUUGUGUGUGUGGUACCAUCAGUCAUGAUAUCUGAGCCAAGUUUUGUGUGGGGAGUCCACUCACUACUAUGGGGUGAUUACAACAGCAUAUAGUCCUAAUUGACAGCUAUGUACCUUCUAUGUACUGAAGAUACUAUUCCACUCUCUUAAC
rnacentral:lncRNA from 1 species